rnacentral:rRNA from 1 species
UACGUAGGGACCGAGCGUUGUCCGGAAUCAUUGGGCGUAAAGAGCGUGUAGGCGGCCACUUAAGUCCUGCGUGAAAUCUUGCGGCUCAACCGCAAGCGGUCGUGGGAAACUGGGUGGCUAGAGUGCGGGAGAGGAGAGUGGAAUUCCUGGUGUAGCGGUGGAAUGCGCAGAUAUCAGGAAGAACACCCGUGGCGAAGGCGGCUCUCUGGAACGCAACUGACGCUGAGGCACGAAAGUGUGGGGAUCAAACAGG